ensembl:lncRNA
GUGGUAAGCACCAACGAGAGUGUUGCUAAUAGAUGUUCUCAGCUGGAAAAAGAGAAAAUGGAAUGUAACACAAAUUUUCUCUCUUCAAAACACAGCGAUUCGUGUCUCAUUGUGGAGGCUUUCCACAAACAGCUUUAGCUCUGUUUGAGUGUGUAAGUAUCAAAUACAGAGGGAAUGAAAGGGAACGUUUGGACAGGAGCUGUAACACAGACCCACAAAGCAAUUUUGGUGCCUAAGGUUACACCUGAAAUGGGAUGCUAAUGUAUUUGCUGUUGUGACUGUUACGUGGGAUUCAUGAGAAAGAGCCAGCUUCAUAUAGACAGGCAACUUUUAAUAAUAACAUUCAGGCAAUGAAAUUAUUCCAGUGAAAAAUGCAGCCAGUUGAGUUACUUUAUUUUGCUAUUUCUCCAUUUGGUCAGUUCAUCUUACUAAUAUCCAAACAUAUGAACCUCCUAAGUAUUUUUACAGUGCUAAGAUAACCCUUAAAUAAUUUCUGGCAUUAGGAUUACACUAGAAGGUUCCCAGGACAGCAGGUUCAUGCAAAACAAGCAAACAAACAAACAAAAAACCCCACUGAAUUUGCAUUCAUUCACUAAAAGAAUUCCAGACAUCACAAUAUCCAUCCAAAUGAAUCUCAAUCCUUUCAUGGAAGGCAGUGUGCUAUGGUGAUGAUAUUUAAGGAGUGUUGAAAGGCGACUGAAUAAAUGACAUUUGUCUGUCUAGAAAUUAAAGAAAAAUGAAACAAUUUGCCCCUGAAGAUUGAUAUUUCAACUUCAAGCACCGAGAACUAACAUUAAACCUUUUACAGCACUCAAACCCUGCCACACACAUAUAAGAUUUUAUAACUCAGUCAAGGCACUUUUGUUCUCUCAUUGAAUCAAGAAAGGAAAAUGGAAGCAUGUAGGUGAUAAAAAGAUAAAAAGGAAGGUCCAAGGAGGCCACUGGGCUAAGUGUGUACCAGUUGCUAAAAUUUCCAUUACAGGUUCUUUUUUCAGCUUGCAGAGCUUACUCAGAGAAAGACCCUCAUCAAGCUCAAUUGUGCCUGUUCCUCAGCCUGCAUGCAGAGGAGAAACAUUUUCAGCAGUGCCAAUCCAGGGCAGCAAAGUUUACUUUUCUCCAGCUGUUCCAGGAACGCUUUCAAUCUUGGCUACAGAUAUGAGGUUUGUCAGUCUCAACAGGAUGUAUAUUCGUGACAAGCAAGAAGUCAUCUCCUUGUUAAUGCAUUAAAGGCAGAAGUUGCACUGCUGCUGACAAGUGCUAGGUAACUCAGUACCUACCAGCACACGCUUACUCAUCCGUUUGUUUAGACAAAUCUGCUGUGAUACAGGCUGAAGAAGAAUUCAGUGGCCACUGAAAAUGAAAAUGUAUAAAUGCAGGAAAUCCAAGAUUUUACAUAAAAUUUCUUUUUCAGU